rnacentral:rRNA from 1 species
UACAGAGGGUGCAAGCGUUGUUCGGAAUUAUUGGGCGUAAAGCGCGUGUAGGCGGCUUUGCAAGUCGGGUGUGAAAGCCCUCGGCUCAACCGAGGAAGUGCGCCCGAAACUGCAGAGCUUGAGUACCGGAGAGGAUGGCGGAAUUCCCCAAGUAGAGGUGAAAUUCGUAGAUAUGGGGAGGAACACCGGUGGCGAAAGCGGCGCGCUGGACCUCUUCUGACGCUGAGGCGCGAAAGCCAGGGGAGCAAACGGG